GCCUGGGUGGCUCAGAGGUUGAGCAUCCGACUUCAGCUCUGGUCAUGAUCUCACAGUUCGUGGGUUCGAGCCCCAUGUCGGGCU
rnacentral:tRNA from 1 species